rnacentral:rRNA from 1 species
ACGCUCGACACCUACGGGGGGCAGCAGUGGGGAAUAUUGCACAAUGGGGGAAACCCGUGAUGCAGCAACGCCGCGUGAAGGAAGACGGUUUUCGGAUUGUAAACUUCUGUUCUUAGUGAAGAUAGUGACGGUAGCUAAGGAGCAAGCCACGGCUAACUACGUGCCAGCAGCCGCGGUAAUCUGAGGCGGGCGUGGCGAAGGC